UACGUAGGGACCGAGCGUUGUCCGGAUUCAUUGGGCGUAAAGAGCUCGUAGGCGGCCACUCAAGUCGAAUGUGAAACCUCGAGGCUUAACCUCGAGCCUGCAUUCGAUACUGGGCGGCUAGAGUCUGGUAGGGGGAUCUGGAAUUCCUGGUGUAGCGGUGGAAUGCGCAGAUAUCAGAAAGAACACCCGUGGCGAAGGCGGCUCUCUGGGACGGUACUGACGCUGAGACGCGAAAGCGUGGGGAGCGAACAGG
rnacentral:rRNA from 1 species